UCCCACUAUUGAAACUUAUAUUGGCCAGAGUUCUUGGUGUGCUUUCAACUGCAACUCUCAGCAACUGGUGUUCAGAGGCACGAUGCAUCUGACAAAGUUCUUGACAGCUCAUUAAGGUUGUAGUUUUUGAUGCCUGUCUGCCUCAGGUGUCAAACAUGUGGAGGGCAACCAGGUCAGGGAUAGUCAGGGCAAAGACAUUUUGCAAGAUUGUUGCCUGUCUGGCACACUUAACCACAACAGCAAUUACAUGGUUUUGGGAGCAGAAAACCAGGAACAUUCCUAUUAAUAAGCUGUCACCUUUGUCAUUUUUCUCUUUCCUUUCCUGAGACCAAUAUAGUUCCCUCUGCGUACACUGCCCCCCCCCAAACAGCUAAGAAAAUUACUAUUACAAUAGCAACAGGACUGCUUCAGUGUAAAAUAUUCCUGCUUUGUACUGGUGGUGGUUCUUAAAAGGAACACUUUUGUCCAUUAUUAACAAUAAUAAAUGCAGCUUGAAAGGGAUUUCUGACACUUUUUUCCACAUAAAAUCCACUGAGAAUGCAGGGAAGAGAAACAAAGUUAAACAAAGUGAUUAUCUGCAAGCUUGAGCUUUAACAAUAGAGGCAAAUUGUAAUCACAUUCUUUGAACAAUUGAAAUUGUGUGCAGAGCAGGCAACCUUUUGUCCCCUCCUGUGCUAGGCAUAAAAUGAGGUAUAAAACACCUGCGUGGGGUCACGUUUCCCCCCCCCUGAUCUAGACUACAAAACUCCAUAGAACUUCCUUGAAAUGGGCAUUCAGAAAUCCCCUCCUUUGAUGAUGAAAUGAAAUCUUGGCUAAAAUUAAUUCUAGCAAGUUGAGAACUUUCCUAAAUUUCACCCUUUAAGCUUGUCUCUGAAUAAACUAAUUCCUCCUAGAAUGCCUAUUGGUUUUACACUACAAGUAAAACACUCCCGGCCUUGUCUAUGAUCUUUACAUUCCCCUUGAGGAAACAAUCUGGGUUGCCCACCGUAGCUAACCCUAACCAGGCUCUAAACUGAUCUAAGUGCUUUCCAAGCCCUAAUUAGAACUCACUGAAAGACAAGCCCUAUCUGACAGUUAAACUGUCAGGAUCCAACUGUUAACUUCCUACUCUCUCCUGAUUGGAUGGACCCUCCACCCAGCCCUGAUUGGUUUCUGGGUCACCAGGAGGCUGACCCAAGGUCUGUCUGGCACACUGGCAAACAAGCAGGUGAUAGCAAUGAGGAUGAAGGGGAAGGAGGGGGAACAACUGGUGAUCAUGGCAGUGGGGAGACAGACUCCUCAUAAAGGGUGUCCUAUUCAAGGGCCUUCCAGACUUAGAGCUGGCCCUGCCAGCUGGACAGCUGAGCUCUGAAGGCUGUCCACAAACUCAUCUUCAAGAGAGCUUUGAAUUGAAAUUGAAAUUGAAUUGAAAUUGAAAUACUUUAUUGUCACUUGUACAGCUUAUACGCAGUGAGAUCACAUGAGCACCCCCCACUCAGCUCUCUUAGUCUUAAUUCCCCUCGUUUACUGACACACACACACACCAAACCCGAAAGUCAGUUGCCCUGUUGUCAUCUUUUCAUUCAGCAGCCUAACAGCCCAUGAACAGAAGCUGUUCUUUACCCUGUUGGUGCGACUAAUCAUGCUUCUAUAUCUUCGGCCUGAGGGCAGGAGAUCAAGAAAGUGCCGGCCAGGGUGUGAAUCAUCCCUGAAAAUUUUCCUCACUCUCCUGAGGCAACGUUCUUCCGCUAUUUCAUCCAGCGGAUUCAUGGGACAGCCCAUAAUAUCUUGUGCUGUAUUCACCACCCUCUGUAGGCACUUCCUAUCAGUUGAUGUCAAACCAGCGUACCACACCUUGAUGCAGUAUGAAAGGACACUUUCUAUUGUUGACCGGUAGAAGGAGAUCAUCAAAUGUUGAUUGACAUCAUUCUUUCACAAUAUUCUGAGGAGAUGGAGUCUCUGUUGGGCUUUCUUAAUCACCUGGGUUGUGUUUAUUUUCCAAGUAAGGUCUUCACUGAGAUAAACUCCUAGGAAUUUAAAGGAAGAGACUCUCUCCACACAGCCCUCCCCGAUGUACAGUGGGCCUAGUUCUCCUCUCUUCCUCCGAAAGUCCAACACCAUCUCAUUUGUCUUGCUGAUAUUAAGGUGCAAGUUGUUCCCUAGGCACCAUGUAGAUAUUUUUUGGACCUCCCCUCUAUACGCUGAUUCCUCUCCACGUGUUAGUAAACCCAUUAUGGUGGUGUCAUCUGCAAACUUAAAGUCAGGCAGGAGAACAAAAUGGUGUUCUUGGCUGAAGUAUCUCCAGAACGCGAUUGAAGAGAGAGCUCUGGAGAGAGGAUGGGAGGCAGGCAGACUCCUCCUUACAGGGAAUGGCUUCCUAAUGCUGACUUCUUUGGAACUGCAGAUAAUGAAAAAUCAAAUGUGUCAGUAAUAUAUUCAAAGUGUCUGUAAUGUAGUCAAGAAUUGGCCUCCAGAAGCCAGCCUUUGUGAACAACAUUAGAAUUUUUUUUUUAAUGGUGAGACACAUCCUUGCAGCAGCCAUAUGCAUUUCCAAAGUGCUUAUCUCCUAGUACACAGAAGAAGGAUGCUGGAAGAGGGAGAGGGAGGGAGAGAGAGAGAGAGAGAGGUCAAUGAAGUGUUCAUAUAUAGGGCAAUUUUCCUUGCAACAGUGAGUUAUUAUUCCAUAUUCCCCUCUCUAAAAAAAGAGAGAUUCCCCUCAAAAAAAAUAUUUUUUUAAGAAACUGUAUAAACUUCAGAGAAUCACAGAAUUGGAAGGGACCCAAGGAUCAUUUAGUCCAAUCCUCUGCAAUGAAGGAAUAUGCAGCUGGCCCAUACGGGGGUCAAACCUGUGACCUUGGGAUUAUCAGCACCACACUCUAACCAACUGAGCUAUCCAAGAAUUCUUCAAGUAGCGUACAAAUAAAACUAUGAAUUAAAAGAUGGCUAAGAUUCACAUACAAAUAUAUACAUAAAACCAUUUUUUUAAAAAAAAUAAAUAAAUUCAGAAUUUCAAAUGUGAAGCCUGAAUUUGCAAUUGUACCUGAGAAUCCAUAUUCCCAGAGGGUCCAGCUUGCUUAUUAUUUUCAUUCCAACAUAUGGCAAAUAGGAAAAUCUUUAAAGAUCUUUGCUGUCAGAUAUAAAUAUCUUUUCAAGUCAACAACCCAGUAUCAAAUCUGACCUCAGAUGUCAUCUAAUGGCAACACCGCUACCCAAUUUUAGAAGAUUUACAGAAUAUCUGGUGGACAGUUGACAUCAAAAUCUCCAGAGCUGAAGUUAUUGUUGUCAAAGCAAUGAGUUAACUGGCAACACUUCUUUGCAAUUUAUGAUUAAAAGCUAAAGGCUGCAUUUCAGCUGGCUGAUACUCUUUUACAAGUUUAACCCAGACAGAAGUAAGCACUGCUAGGCCCAGUGGAGUUGAAGAAACUAUGCACAGGAUAGCUGUUAUGCAGAUUCUAAUAAAAUGGGCAUUAAACUAUAAACUGUUGCUCUCUGGAGGGUGUGCAUGUACAUAUGUGCACAUACUUGCCCGUCCACACACAAUAAUGGACCAACACAGCUGUCUGCAUGUUUUUUAUUCUUCUUUGGGGAAGGACUAUGUACUCUCCUUGGGGACGUGGCUGUGGGCAGCCAUCAUAACAGCCUAAUGCUCUUCCAAUUUUAGCACUGCGUCCCUGUUCCCUGCCCAUCUCCCCAGCCUGGCUUUGUUCCCCAGACCCUGGAGAUGAACUCAAGUGCAGUCAGUUUGGUUUAGCAGUCUCUCCAUUCUCUUCCAGCUUUGCGCUUGGGCUGAUCUUAGAACCAGGAGUUUGUCAGCAAAGAGUGACAGCCGAGGGAGCAUUAAGUGAAUGCCGAGAACUUUGGCUGCCUCUGCUUUGCAAAGCACACUCUGUUUAUUUAGAUCCAGGAAACCCCUCAGCGAAGCAGCCCGGGCCUGCGGUGAGCGGGAAGUUAUUAACGCUGAAGAGUUUCCAUGAGCAACUGACAACAAUAAUAAAACAUGUUCCAGAGGGCUUAAUAAAACGUCUCGGCUUCUCUUGCUGUAGCAAAAGGGGAAGAAGGGAGUGCAGAAAGCAUGACGCCUGGCUUCUUGCUAGCCUGCCCCAUCUGCUGUUAGCAAAAGAAACCCCUCCCCACUUUUAAAUGAAUCUUCUCCACAGAUGGAGAAUAAAUGGAGUAAGUCUCCAAAACAGAGUUUGAAUGCGGAUAAAAUAAAAUAACUUCUUCUAAAUUGAAAUAGACACACACACACACACACACACACACACACACACACACACUUGCAGAAGGGAAGAUAUUAUGGAUCAAAGCUAGCCAAUGCAACACCAUUUUCAUGUUGUUGGACUUCAACUCACACCAGCCUUAGCUGGCAUAGUCAAUGGUCAGGGGUGAUGAGAGUUUGAGUCCAACAGCAUAUAGAGGGCAUCAUAUUGCCCACCCCUGCUGUAAGAUUUUGGGGUAAAAGCACUGCCUGGAAAGUGUGCUCCCUGAAGAUUUGGCAACAAGCUUUUAAAACUCAUUCUCUCAUUCUUCAAACCUGGUGUGAAAAGUGUUCAAGCAUGAAAGGAAAAUUCUGAAGAUUUGCUGACAAAGCAUGAAAUUUCCUGAGUUGAAAUAUGAGCAGGAUAUGAACUUUUGCAAUGGCCAUUUCACCCACUGAACCUGAGCUGAAGAAAACUCAACUUGCUCUGAACCUAGUCAGCACAUAAUAUAGCAUUUUCAAAUAGCUAUGAGCCCACCAUAAAAGGAGUGCAAGGACUCCCUUGGGAUGUGGUAGACUCUUCUUCCUUGGAGAUUUUUAAGCAGAGGUUGGAUGACCACCUGUCAUCUAUGAUUUAGUUGAGAUUCCUGCAUUGCAGAGGGGUUGGACUAGAUGAACUUCUGGGUCCCUUCCAACUCUAUGAUUCUAUAAUUUGUCUGUGAAGUAGGUUUCCACAGGAUUCAACCCUGGUGUUGGGACGCCUUUCUUCAGGUGAUGAGGCUGGGAACGUGGAAUCUGGGGAUUUGAAGAGGGCAUUGUCCUCAAAGAUAGUCCACAAUGUACAAAGUAAACCAGAACAACUUGUGCAAGAAGGGCGUGAUGUGCCAGCACUUUUCUGACCCAAGGACAUCAUUCUGCCCUCUUCUAACUCUGAAGAUUAGAUAAAUUGCUGUUGUGCUCAUGUCCUGCUUUCAGGCUUCCCACAAGCACCUGGUUGGCCACUGUGAGAACAGGAUGCUGGAAUAGAAGGGCUACUAGCCUGAUUCAGCAAGCUAACUUUAUAUUCUUAUAUUCUCAGGACUCCCAUCUCAGAAACCCUAGUGGAACCACUACCUCCCCUACUCAAUUGACUUCAACAGCUACUAAAGCAAGCUGGGUCAUUUUAAAUGAAGAAGUUCCCAUCACAGAAGGUGGAACAAGCUACUGAGUCAGAGCUGCAGCACCUAUUUAAGGUUCAGUGUCAGGAUGACUGGUGCUGAAGCAACUGUUGAACUCUGCUCCUACGAAGACUCCAGCCAGAGCCCUGCAUGGAGCUGUCCAGGGUGCCAUGGAUGCCUCACCUCACCACUGCUGAAGCCACUGCUCUAAAGGGAAUGAGUUUCUCAGUAUAGGGAUGGAUGCACUAGGGAGAAGCUCACUGAGUGAGUUCAGUCAGCCGCUGAAAUCCGUCAUGAGUUAAUUGGUCCUCAUAAACCACAGCUAUCGGCACUGCCAAAGAAAACUGGAGUAUAUGUAAUAAAAGAGAAAUUAUGGGUUGCCUUGUUU
rnacentral:lncRNA from 1 species